UUUGCUCCAAUUUAUUUGCUUCACAAGUUGGCUGCUUUAGUAUUUCUCUUCUAUAAGUUGUAGGAGCAAUAUCUAUACUAGGAGGUCCUUCCGCAUCCUACUCCUGCACAGUCAGACAGCUCUUCAUUUCAGUCUAAUUGGACACAGGAGCAAGUUGAGGAGAUGCUCAACAAAUGGAUGGAGGAGCGCGUGUUGGUAGGGACAGUCAAGAUAAAGACACGAGUUGUAGCUUAGAUGAUGGUUUAGAUUCCUCACUUGUUUGAAGCUUAGACACAUUCAAAGGGCAUGAAGGAAUUAAAUCAUCUGAAUCUGGGAUCUAAAGGGCGAGAUUAGGAUGUAGCGAUGGAAGAAUCCAUGACCUCGAUCGGGAUUGAUGUGCAUAGAAGCAGAUGGGGUGGCUUCAACUUGGGCGACAUGGAGGCUAGCUCAUACCAGGCCUCAACGCCAGAGGCACCUUGGUGCUUGAAAAAAUGAUCAAUAAUCUGUUGAAUUUACAUGGCAGGUUGUAAUUUUUUUUUUUUUUUUUGAUGAGCAUAAAAGAUAAUCUAUACUUCAUAAUACUUAGCAACUGAUGUUUUAAACAGGCUAUAGAGGCAGAGAAAUUUAGAUAUAAUACUUUUAAGAUUAUUUAGAUCAAAAUAUUUUGCGGAAAGUUUUUAUUACUUCCUUGCUUCCUAAAAACAUGCUUUACAGAAAGCAAUGAAAAUAUUCUGGCAAAAAAUUAUUCAAAUUUUCUAGU